rnacentral:rRNA from 1 species
UGACCGCUGGCGGCGUGCCUAAUACAUGCAAGUCGAGCGAACAGAUGAGGAGCUUGCUCCUCUGACGUUAGCGGCGGACGGGUGAGUAACACGUGGAUAACCUACCUAUAAGACUGGGAUAACUUCGGGAAACCGGAGCUAAUACCGGAUAAUAUAUUGAACCGCAUGGUUCAAUAGUGAAAGACGGUUUUGCUGUCACUUAUAGAUGGAUCCGCGCCGCAUUAGCUAGUUGGUAAGGUAACGGCUUACCAAGGCAACGAUGCGUAGCCGACCUGAGAGGGUGAUCGGCUACACUGGAACUGAGACACGGUCCAGACUCCUACGGGAGGCAGCAGUAGGGAAUCUUCCGCAAUGGGCGAAAGCCUGACGGAGCAACGCCGCGUGAGUGAUGAAGGUCUUCGGAUCGUAAAACUCUGUUAUUAGGGAAGAACAAAUGUGUAAGUAACUAUGCACGUCUUGACGGUACCUAAUCAGAAAGCCACGGCUAACUACGUG